rnacentral:lncRNA from 1 species
AGGGCUGCUGCUCAUCAAUGGUAUAACCUCUGGAUUGAAUCUGAUUCAACAUACGUUGUGAAUGUCUUCAAUAAUCGUGAGGUUCCGGUCCCGUGGCGUUUUCGGAGUAGAUGGCAGGCGGCGCUUAAAGGUGUGGAGCACUACAACCUCCGUUGCUCUCAUAACUACCGGGAAGGUAACCACGUUGCCGAUUACCUCGCUUCCUCUCACUCGCAGGAAGGAUUUUGGCUUCAUUCUAUUCCUGAGAUUGCUCAGCUGGUUUUCGAUGAUGUACAUUCUUCCUUUGUUCGCAUGGUGCGAUAGCUUGUCCUGAGUUGUUUGUUCGGUGCUUGGUGGGAACCGGGGAGAUUUGGGGGUGAUGGUACGGCCGGAACUUCCGAAGUCUCCUCAACUCAGUUUCCACCGCACCUUGUUUCUUUCAUGUUUUCUUUGUAUCUAGACGGGUACUCUUUAUCCUCGUUUUGAGGUUUUAAUGAGGCCCGGCCCUGGUCUUCUCUUUGGGUUUUUUUAGGUUCCGGUUUCUUUAAUAAAAUUUCAAUUCAGCAGA